GAUGAAGAACGUAGCGAAAUGCGAUAAGUAGUGUGAAUUGCAGAAUUCAGUGAAUCAUCGAAUCUUUGAACGCACAUUGCGCCCUUCGGUAUUCCGUCGGGCAUGCCUGUUCGAGCGUCAUUGCUGCCCUCAAGCACGGCUUGUGUGUUGGGCCUCCGUCCUCCUCCCGGGGGACGGGCCCGAAAGGCAGCGGCGGCACCGCGUCCGGUCCUCGAGCGUAUGGGGCUUCGUCACCCGCUCUUGUAGGCCCGGCCGGCGCUUGCCGACACAUCAAUCUUUUUUCCAGGUUGACCUCGGAUCAGGUAGGGAUACCCGCUGAACUUAAGCAUAUCAAUAAGCGGAGGA
rnacentral:misc_RNA from 1 species